GAUGAACGCUGGCGGCGUGCCUAAUACAUGCAAGUCGAGCGAACAGACGAGGAGCUUGCUCCUCUGACGUUAGCGGCGGACGGGUGAGUAACACGUGGAUAACCUACCUAUAAGACUGGGAUAACUUCGGGAAACCGGAGCUAAUACCGGAUAACAUGUUGAACCGCAUGGUUCAACAGUGAAAGACGGUCUUGCUGUCACUUAUAGAUGGAUCCGCGCCGCAUUAGCUAGUUGGUAAGGUAACGGCUUACCAAGGCAACGAUGCGUAGCCGACCUGAGAGGGUGAUCGGCCACACUGGAACUGAGACACGGUCCAGACUCCUACGGGAGGCAGCAGUAGGGAAUCUUCCGCAAUGGGCGAAAGCCUGACGGAGCAACGCCGCGUGAGUGAAGAAGGUCUUCGGAUCGUAAAACUCUGUUAUUAAGGAAGAACAAAUGUGUAAGUAACUAUGCACGUCCUGACGGUACCUAAUCAGAAAGCCACGGCUAACUACGUG
rnacentral:rRNA from 1 species